rnacentral:tRNA from 1 species
AGAUGGCUCAGUGGUUAAGAGCACUGGCUGCUCUUGCAGAGGACCUGGGUUCAGAUCCCAGCAUCUA